UGCAUAGAUCCUUAUAUAGUCCCUCCACUUAAGUCUUAGCAUUCUCAUCAGACUAAGAAUCCAAAUUCAUGCAAUCAUUCAUAAACACCACGAUCGGCUCAUGGUAAGUACCAAUAAAUCCAUGCUGUAGUAUCUUUUAGUCCACAUGGGUUGAGUCAGCUCUGAUACCACUAUCAUAAAAUAUCAUGCCCCAAAUCCAGAGCAUAUAUAGCACAAUGAUGAUACCAAUGUGAAACCAACAAUCAUGAUCUUAAAUAAAAUAAAAGAUCUAUCACUCAU
rnacentral:lncRNA from 1 species